UGUUUGUUUGUUUGUUUGUUGUUUGAGGCAAGAUCUCUUAGGAGGCCCCAGGAUUCUCCCUGUCUCAGACUUUUUGCUUUUCUUCUGUGGGUUUUUGGGUUGGAGAGCUUUCAAAGCAGGCCCUUUACUGACUGAGCCAUGCCCCAGGCCCAGCCUUUACCUGGAAAUUUUCUGCAAAGCAAUCUGAGAAGCGAAGAGAAGAUAUAUUUUUUUUUUUGAACAAAGAAAUAGCAUAGCAUCAAUGAUGCCGUCAGCAGGCCAGUCGUUGCUGCUACUAAAUUAAUUACUAAAUUGAGAAAUUAAUGCAAACGCAACUGAGGGACAAGCUCACAGGCAGCAGUGAACUGGCGUCGUGGUUUCUACUUGACUUGAGAAGCAGACGGGAGGCUGAGUGUGGGUUCCUAAUCCCAAAGAUAGCGGCGUAUCCCCAGGUGUGGCAGAGCCUGCUUUAAUCACAUAUUAAAUUAGUGACCUGAAGACACAUGAAGGAUGUCGGGGAGAUUUCCGAACCUAAUAGUCUUUCAGAGUUUAAACAUUGAUCUUUCUAUUGUAUAACUUCAGAUCAGUCUUCAGAUUAUGAAAAAGACAGAAGUUAAACACACCAUUUGGUGCUAAGCACGCGCUUUGGAUCUAAGCCGCGCCAUUGAUGCUGUAUUUCCACGUUAACACAGUUGAAGCAUCGCUCAGAUCAGAUAAAACCUGCUGACUGAAUUUGAAACCCUGAAAGUCCCGAUGUUCCCGAGCGCUCUCAUUCCUUUUACUGCUCAGUAGCAGGACGGUUAAGAUGAGAAAUCUGAAGUAAGCUGGUUGUAAAACACCCAAGU
rnacentral:lncRNA from 1 species